rnacentral:sRNA from 1 species
GCAUACAGAACUCCCACGGACACACAAUGAUUAGGACCCUGCUGCUGUCUGCUUUGGUGGCUGGAGCCCUCAGUUGUGGGGACCCCACUUACCCGCCUUAUGUGACUAGGGUGGUUGGAGGUGAAGAAGCGAGGCCCAACAGCUGGCCCUGGCAGGUCUCCCUGCAGUACAGCUCCAAUGGCAAGUGGUACCACACCUGCGGAGGGUCCCUGAUAGCCAACAACUGGGUCCUGACGGCUGCCCACUGCAUCAGCUCCUCCAGGACCUACCGCGUGGGGCUAGGCCGGCACAACCUCUACGUUGCGGAGUCCGGCACGCUGGCCGUCAGUGUCUCUCACAUUGUCGUACACCCGGAUUGGAACUCCAAGCUCUCCGAAGGGUUAGUUUCUGUCUGGGUUCACUUCGGGGUAAGGUUGUCAGGGAACAGAUGGGGGUCUCACAGAGGCAAGGGUCUCAACUCCACCACACACCCUCUGCUUCUUCUAUAGGGAGGGGGAAGGAGCUCUGGCCUCUUAGAUGUGGAACCAGC